CAUGGUUGCAGAGCUGAAACUUUGGCCCUGGUUCAAGAAGAGAAGCAGGAGUAUUUGCAGUAUUUGCAUGCCAGGCUAUGUUUGGUUUCUCUCACAGCAGAAGUGGUACAGCAGGUCUAAGUCUUCUCCUUCCAUAAGCUGUCUGGGAACGCCUUGGACAUCCAUGGAAACCAUGAAGAACACAGUGGAGAGCUCUGUGCCUCGGCCAAGGGCCUGCAGCCUCUCUCAUAUCAUCUGCAAACAAUAAACAUAUAUUAUACA
rnacentral:lncRNA from 1 species